rnacentral:rRNA from 1 species
AGUGAACGCUGGCGGUAGGCCUAACACAUGCAAGUCGAACGGCAGCACAGUAAGAGCUUGCUCUUACGGGUGGCGAGUGGCGGACGGGUGAGGAAUACAUCGGAAUCUACUUUUUCGUGGGGGAUAACGUAGGGAAACUUACGCUAAUACCGCAUACGACCUACGGGUGAAAGCAGGGGAUCUUCGGACCUUGCGCGAUUGAAUGAGCCGAUGUCGGAUUAGCUAGUUGGCGGGGUAAAGGCCCACCAAGGCGACGAUCCGUAGCUGGUCUGAGAGGAUGAUCAGCCACACUGGAGCUGGGACACGGUCCAGACUCCUACGGGAGGCAGCAGUGGGGAAUAUUAGACAAAGGGCGCAAGCCUGAUACAGCCAUACCGCGUGGGUGAAGAAGGCCUUCGGGUUGUAAAGCCCUUUUGUUGGGAAAGAAAAGCAGCAGGUUAAUACCCCGCUGUUCUGACGGUACCCAAAGAAUAAGCACCGGCUAACUUCGUG